UACGUAGGGUGCAAGCGUUGCUCGGAAUUAUUGGGCGUAAAGGGUAGGUAGGUGGUCUCAUUUGUCUGGGGUGAAAUCCUUGGGCUUAACUCAAGAAGUGCCCCAGAAACGGUGAGACUAGAGUGCUGGAGAGGGUCGUGGAAUUCCCGGUGUAGCGGUGAAAUGCGUAGAGAUCGGGAGGAACACCAGAGGCGAAGGCGGCGACCUGGACAGCUACUGACACUCAACUACGAAAGCGUGGGGAGCAAACAGG
rnacentral:rRNA from 1 species